rnacentral:rRNA from 1 species
CCUACGGGUGGCAGCAGUGAGGAAUAUUGGUCAAUGGGCGCGAGCCUGAACCAGCCAAGUCGCGGGAGGGAGGACGGCCCUACGGGUUGUAAACCUCUUUUGCCGGGGAGCAACGGGCGUCACGUGUGGCGCCACUGAGUGUACCCGGAGAAAACGCAUCGGCUAACUCCGUGCACGCAGCCGCGGUAAUACGGAGGAUGCGAGCGUUAUCCGGCUUUCUUGGGUUAAAAGGGUGCGUAGGCGGAUCGUUAAGUCUGUGGUCAAAUUGAGGGGCUCAACCCCUUCCCGCCAUUGAAACUGGCGCUCUUGAGUGGAAGAGAAGUAUGCGGAAUGCGUGGUGUAGCGGUGAAAGGCAUAGAUAUCACGCAGAACCCCGAUUGCGAAGGCAGCAUGCCGGCUUCCGACUGACGCUGAAGCACGAAAGCGUGGGGAUCGAACAGGAUUAGAUACCCUGGUAGUC